CUCGAACUCCUCAAUAUAAAUAAGUAAAAAAAAUAUUUGAAUCACUUUUUUUUUCUCACUCAUAUUAGAAGUGAAUAUAAAAUAUAACCAAUAUAAAAAUAAUUUUUAUAAAAAAUUACCCUUACACAAAAAAUAACUUAUUUCUAUUGCUCUCUAAACAUGAAGAAGAAAAAAAGAACAAAACAAAAUUAUCCAAAUCUUAUAAAAUGUAACCAUAUUAAUUACUUGUGACGUGGAAUGCUGCGAGCCAGCAUGCAAUUGUUGUAAUUUCAAAAGAUAAAUUAUAUCCCAACAUUGCAUUUUGGAUUUAAUUUAUCAAAGUCGUAAUAUAGGUCAUUUGAUUUUAGUCCGACAAUACUCCAAGUCACCUGACUACACAAAUGUAUGAUUCCUUCGUAUACAGACAAUGAGCCUAAAGAGUAUUUUGCCCUUUGCACCCAAAUCAACCAUAUAUAAUCAAGUUUAAAUAACUUUCCCUCUUGGAACCCUAAUUUUAUAAAUAUGUUCUUCACCAGUGUAUUUAUCAACCUUAACAACCCAACGACCUCUACUCUUGUUCAUUCCACAUCCACAUUUAGGACUAACCCAAUUUUCUCUAAAUCUUGUCACCAAUAACCCUUCUCCAAUAGGAAGCAAUUUAGUUUUUGAUCCACAUGACCUCCAAAUUGACCACCCUUUACAACUAAAUGCAUUAUAACCAACAACAACUAUACCCUUUUGCAUAUUCCCACCAA
rnacentral:lncRNA from 1 species